rnacentral:other from 1 species
CGAAUCCUGAACUGUUUGUAAUCCCAUUCAUAACAGUUUUGACCGAACAAUAAAUCGUUGGGAAUCCAUAUUUUGACUUGUGCAAACAGGCCCUCGAACGAGUUGGGGAAGUUUAAGCAGUUAAAGAGGUUACCCACCUGCAAGGGAAGCGGGUUCAAAACAUUAAAGUUACGGCAAUUUGGGAUUCGU